GAUGAACGCUGGCGGCGUGCCUAAUACAUGCAAGUCGAGCGAACGGACGAGAAGCUUGCUUCUCUGAUGUUAGCGGCGGACGGGUGAGUAACACGUGGAUAACCUACCUAUAAGACUGGGAUAACUUCGGGAAACCGUAGCUAAUACCGGAUAAUAUUUUGAACCGCAUGGUUCAAAAGUGAAAGACGGUCUUGCUGUCACUUAUAGAUGGAUCCGCGCUGCAUUAGAUAGUUGGUAAGGUAACGGCUUACCAAGGCAGCGAUGCAUAGCCGACCUGAGAGGGUGAUCGGCCACACUGGAACUGAGACACGGUCCAGACUCCUACGGGAGGCAGCAGUAGGGAAUCUUCCGCAAUGGGCGAAAGCCUGACGGAGCAACGCCGCGUGAGUGAUGAAGGUCUUCGGAUCGUAAAACUCUGUUAUUAGGGAAGAACAUAUGUGUAAGUAACUGUGCACAUCUUGACGGUACCUAAUCAGAAAGCCACGGCUAACUACGUG
rnacentral:rRNA from 1 species